AUUGAACGCUGGCGGCGUGCUUAACACAUGCAAGUCGAUCGGUAACAGGUGUAGCAAUACAUGCUGACGAGAGGCGGACGGGUGAGGAAUAUUUGGGAAUCUGCCCAUCAGCGGGGGACAACCCGGGGAAACCCGGGCUAAUACCGCAUACGCUCUACGGAGGAAAGCCGGGGACCGCAAGGCCUGGCACUGAUGGAUGAGCCCAAAUCGGAUUAGCUAGUUGGCGGGGUAACGGCCCACCAAGGCGACGAUCCGUAGCUGGUCUGAGAGGACGAUCAGCCACACCGGAACUGAGACAAGGUCCGGACUCCUACGGGAGGCAGCAGUGGGGAAUAUUGGACAAUGGGGGAAACCCUGAUCCAGCGACGCCGCGUGGGUGAAGAAGGCCUGCGGGUUGUAAAGCCCUUUCGGUAGGGACGAAAGCUCUUGCUCCAACAAAGCAGGAGGUUGACUUAACCUACAUAAGAAGCACCGGCUAACUCUGUGCCAGCAGCCGCAGUAAAAC
rnacentral:rRNA from 1 species